rnacentral:rRNA from 1 species
CCCUUAGAUGUCCGGGGCCGCACGCGCGCUACACUGAAGGAAUCAGCGUGGCUUUCUCCCUGACCCGAAAGGGUUGGGAAACCCGUUGAAUCUCCUUCGUGAUAGGGAUUAGGGCUUGAAAUUGUUCCCCAUGAACGAGGAAUUCCCAGUAAGCGCGAGUCAUAAGCUCGCGUUGAUUACGUCCCUGCCCUUUGUACACACCGCCCGUCGCUACUACCGAUUGAACGGUUUAGUGAGGGCCUCGGAUUGGUCUCGGCCCGCUCUUUACCGGGCGGCGCCGUUGGUCGAGAAGACGCUCGAACUUGAUCGUUUAGAGGAAGUAAAAGUCGUAACA